ACUAAGGGGUGCUCCUGAGUGGGGCUGAGAUUAUACCCGUCGACCUGAUCCGGAUAAUGCCGGCGUAGGGAAAAGCCGA
rnacentral:ncRNA from 1 species